AUUGAACGCUGGCGGCAGGCCUAACACAUGCAAGUCGAACGAGUGGCGGACGGGUGAGUAAUGUCUGGGAAACUGCCCGAUGGCGGGGGAUAACUACUGGAAACGGUAGCUAAUACCGCAUACCAUCGGAUGUUCCCAGAUGGGAUUAGCUAGUAGGUGGGGUAACGGCUCACCUAGGCGACGAUCCCUAGCUGGUCUGAGAGGCUGACCAGCCACACUGGAACUGAGACACGGUCCAGACUCCUACGGGAGGCAGCAGUGGGGAAUAUUGCACAAUGGGCGAAAGCCUGAUAGAGCCAUGCCGCGUGUAUGAAGAAGGCCUUCGGGUUGUAAAGUACUUUCAGCGAGGAGGCGUUACUCGCAGAAGAAGCACCGGCUAACUCCGUGCCAGCAUCCGCGGUAAUUC
rnacentral:rRNA from 1 species